rnacentral:tRNA from 6 species
GCCGGGGUAGCUCAGUCGGUAGAGCAGCGGACUGAAAAUCCGCGUGUCCCUGGUUCGAUUCCGGGCCCCGGCACCU